UACGGAGGGUGCAAGCGUUAAUCGGAAUUACUGGGCGUAAAGCGCACGCAGGUGGCUGAGUCAGUCGAUUGUGAAAGCCCUGGGCUUAACCUGGGAAUUGCAGUCGAUACUACUCAGCUAGAGUAUGGGAGAGGGCAGUGGAAUUCCCGGUGUAGCGGUGAAAUGCGUAGAUAUCGAGAGGAACACCUGCGGCGAAGGCGGGUUGCUGGGCUGACACUGACGCUGAAGCGCGAAAGCUAGGGGAGCGAACGGG
rnacentral:rRNA from 1 species